AGUGAACGCUGGCGGUAGGCCUAACACAUGCAAGUCGAACGGCAGCACAGGAGAGCUUGCUCUUUGGGUGGCGAGUGGCGGACGGGUGAGGAAUACAUCGGAAUCUACCUUUUCGUGGGGGAUAACGUAGGGAAACUUACGCUAAUACCGCAUACGACGUACGGGUGAAAGCAGGGGACCUUCGGGCCUUGCGCGAUGGAAUGAGCCGAUGUCGGAUUAGCUAGUUGGCGGGGUAAAGGCCCACCAAGGCGACGAUCCGUAGCUGGUCGGAGAGGAUGAUCGGCCACACUGGAACUGAGACACGGUCCAGACUCCUACGGGAGGCAGCAGUGGGGAAUAUUGGACAAUGGGCGCAAGCCUGAUCCAGCCAUACCGCGUGGGUGAAGAAGGCCUUCGGGUUGUAAAGCCCUUUUGUUGGGAAAGAAAUCAAGCUGGCUAAUACCCGGUUGGGAUGACGGUACCCAAAGAAUAAGCACCGGCUAACUUCGUGCCAGCCGCCGCCGUAA
rnacentral:rRNA from 1 species